ensembl:misc_RNA Metazoa_SRP Metazoan signal recognition particle RNA
GCUGUGCACAGUGGCACGUGCCUGAGGUCUCAGCUACUUGGGAGGCUGAGGCAGGAGGAUCGCCUGAGCCCAGGAAUUCCGGCCAUCAGGUGUUCACACUAAGUUCAGCAUCAAUAUGGUGACCCCCACCGGCUUGCCCAAGGUGAACAGGCCCAGGUGGGAAACCAGACAGGUAAACAUUCCUGUGCCGAUCAGUAACGGGAUCGUGCCUGCAAGUAGCCACUUGCACUCCAGCCUGAGUGACAGAGUGAAACCCUGGAUUUU